GCUGGAAACAGGACAGAUGGCUUUUAAAUACAGACAUCCUCUGUAGAAACAGUUUAUAAUUUAAACUGUGCGUGAAAUAAUAGCACAGGUGUAUUCAACACUGCUCGUUUCCCUAGGCGCCGCUACCACCAAUCAAUCGCCUACGGAGACCAUAACCCGCAGAACUAGACACCUUAUAGGGACUAGUGUGAGUGCACGUCACGUCCAGAAUCGACGUCCAGAAUCGGCGAUGACCACCCAGCAAAGAGACAUUUGUUUCGGGAGGGGUGUCCCCUUUAUGGACAGAGAGUGAGUUGCGCUGGGCCACUACUGUAGCGAUCAUACUAUUCCUGAGUGCGCGCACGGUGAUAGACUUGUAGCAUGGUGACCAAGCUCAGUGACCGGGGAGCUCGUCCCUCAGCACAGUACAAUCUGUCCAGUUUGAGAAGUGACACUGCCCAGAAGGGAAAGUGGAGUUAUCAUUAGCCCCACUCCCAUUGGUCAACGAGGGCAGGUGGCUAGCCAGCUUUUCCUCCACCGGGAGUGCAUGCACAAGCUUCCUUCAUUCCCUCCACAUCCAGGAAUAACCGGGCUGAAUGAGGCUCGUCACGGCUUGCCUUUAGCUCGUCGUCAAUGUCUGGGAAGAGAGGCCAGCGGUGCCUGACUAAGGUAGGCAUAGGAAUAUCCCACAAAACCUGGUCGCCCUCUGUUGCGGGAGGGGAUCGGGCCACAUGACCGGCCGCUCUGCGACACCGUCCAAUGAAGAACACGUUAUCCCCCUGGGUGUCCCCUGCAACCUCCAUAGCUGGGGGGCUUUUGACUGCCCUGGAGCCAAAUCAUUCUCCUCCACAUCAAUGUCUGAGAAUCCACCGCGUCGUCCUCCGAACGCGGAUCCCUCGUGCUGCAGAGGGUAGCAGAAACAAUGUCAGAGAAUCCACCGCGUCGUCCUCCGAACGCGGAUCCCUCAUGCUGCAGAAACAAUGUCUGAGAAUCCACCGC
rnacentral:lncRNA from 1 species